UACGUAGGCAGCGAGCGUUGUUCGGAAUUACUGGGCGUAAAGAGUGUGUAGGCGGUGCUCUAAGUUCGGUGUGAAAUCUCCUGGCUCAACUGGGGGGGUGCGCCGGAAACUGGAGUGCUUGAGCGUGGGAGAGGAAAGCGGAAUUCCUGGUGUAGCGGUGAAAUGCGUAGAUAUCAGGAGGAACACCUGUGGUGUAGACGGCUUUCUGGACCAUAGCUGACGCUGAGACACGAAAGCGUGGGGAGCAAACAGG
rnacentral:rRNA from 1 species